AGAGUUUGAUCAUGGCUCAGGAUGAACGCUGGCGGUAUGCCUAACACAUGCAAGUCGAACGGGUAUCUUCGGAUAUUAGUGGCGGACGGGUGAGUAACGCGUGAGAAUCUGCCUUCAGGAUGGGGACAACAGUUGGAAACGACUGCUAAUACCCGAUAUGACGAAAGUUGAAAGAUUUAUCGCCUGGAGAUGAGCUCGCGUCAGAUUAGCUAGAUGGUGUGGUAAAGGCGCACCAUGGCGACGAUCUGUAGCUGGUCUGAGAGGAUGAGCAGCCACACUGGGACUGAGACACGGCCCAGACUCCUACGGGAGGCAGCAGUGGGGAAUUUUCCGCAAUGGGCGCAAGCCUGACGGAGCAAUACCGCGUGAGGGAGGAAGGCUCUUGGGUCGUAAACCUCUUUUCUCAGGGAAGAACAAAAUGACGGUACCUGAGAAUCAGAAUCGAUUCCCC
rnacentral:rRNA from 1 species